GAUGAACGCUGGCGGCGUGCUUAAUACAUGCAAGUCGAACGGAGACUGUAGCAAUACUGUCUUAGUGGCGAACGGGUGAGUAACGCGUUGGUGACCUGCCCCGAAGAGAGGGAUAACAGUCCGAAAGGAUUGCUAAUACCCCAUGUGGUCGUUUGGAUUAGAUGCCUUAUGACUAAACGGAUUUAUUCGCUUCGGGAGGGGCCUGCGUCCCAUCAGCUAGUUGGUGGGGUAAUAGCUUACCAAGGCGAUGACGGGUAGGGGACCUGAGAGGGUGGCCCCCCACAAUGGAACUGAAACACGGUCCAUACACCUACGGGUGGCAGCAGUAGGGAAUAUUGGUAAUCUGGGAAACCGGGAACCAGCAACGCCGCGUGCGCGAUGACGGCCUUCGGGUUGUAAAGCGCUUUUUAAAGGGAUGAGGAAGGACAGUACCUUUAGAAUAAGCCCCGGCUAACUACGUGCCAGCCGCCGCGGUAAUAC
rnacentral:rRNA from 1 species